AUUGAACGCUGGCGGCAGGCCUAACACAUGCAAGUCGAGCGGAUGAAGAGAGCUUGCUCUCUGAUUUAGCGGCGGACGGGUGAGUAAUGCCUAGGAAUCUGCCUGGUAGUGGGGGAUAACGUUCCGAAAGGAACGCUAAUACCGCAUACGACCUACGGGAGAAAGCAGGGGACCUUCGGGCCUUGCGCUAUCAGAUGAGCUUAGGGCGGAUUAGCUAGUUGGUGAGGUAAUGGCGCACCAAGGCUACGAUCCGUAACUGGUCUGAGAGGAUGAUCAGUCACACUGGAACUGAGACACGGUCCAGACUCCUACGGGAGGCAGCAGUGGGGAAUAUUGGACAAUGGGCGAAAGCCUGAUCCAGCCAUGCCGCGUGUGUGAAGAAGGUCUUCGGAUUGUAAAGCACUUUAAGUUGGGAGGAAGGGCAGUAAGUUAAUACCUUGCUGUUUUGACGUUACCGACAGAAUAAGCACCGGCUAACUUCGUGCCAGCCGCCGCCGUAAUAC
rnacentral:rRNA from 1 species